ACAGACUUACUCUGUGACACUCAAAAAAUGAAACCUUUAAUAAUUCGAGAAGACUUCAGUAGGAAUCCGUAUGUGGGUGAUCUCACAGAGGAAGUUGUUUAUACACCAGAAAUGGCUUUGAAGUGGAUCACAAAGGGAGAAAAGAACAGACAUUAUAGAGUUACGA